ACGCUCAGGCCGUCUGGAAGCCGUGGCUCCCAGGGAUGGAAGGGCCUCCUGGCGAGGACGUAGGACCAGAGGGGCAGGUCUUAAGGUGACAGUGUUCAUUCACUCCGCACACGUUUAACGGAAGCCCACUAGGGGAUAAGCAAUAUGCCAGGCGCCGGGAGUGGGUCCCUGAGAGAGGAGUUUGCUCUCUGUAGUGGAUUGCUGCACCCCUUCCUCACAGAAGCAUUUCUAAGUCCCAACCCCUGGCACUGUGAAGGUGAAGUUAUUCAGAAAUAGGGACUUUGAAGAUGCAAGUUAAAAUCUCAGAUGAGAGACUCCUGCAUUUAGGGUGGGCUCUAGCUCCAAUGGCUGGUGUCCUUAGGAGAGACAGGAGUGCAGACUGGAGACACAGACACACAGACACAAGGAGAAGGCCACGGGAGACCAGGCCGAGACUGGAGUGACGUGCCUACCAGCCAAGGAGCAGCAAGGAUUGCCCAUGGCCCCCAGAAGCCGGAGAAACUCAUGGAACAGAUGCUCCCUGUGGGGAACCAGAGGGCCCAACCCGGCUGACUCCUGGGUAGCAGACUUCCGGCCUCCAGAACAGUGAGUCAAUAAGCUUCUGUGGCUUUAAGCCUCCCCCUUGGGAUAAUCUUUUACACACCGCUCUAGGAGGCCAACAUACCCCGGAAACUUAAGGUCUAGUAAUGGAGGUAACAAACGAACAGGUAAGUUAAUAGCAACAUAUGUGCAGACCUUUGAUAUAUCGCACUUCAGAGCUAAUAUGGGGGAUGUGAUAAAGAAAGAGGGCACUGUUUGGAAUGAGAUAUUCAGGGAGGGUCCCUCUAAGGAGGUGACAUUUGAGCAGAAAGUAGUUCUGCGUGAGACAUUCUCGGGAAGGUGACAGCAUAGACAGAUGCCCUGAGCAGGAAGAAGGCGUGAUGUGUUCAGAGAGCUAAAAGGUGAGGGGACCAGAGCCCUUAGGAGGCUGCAGCCAGCUGCCAGGUGCUUGAAGGCCGUAGUUCAGGUCUGCAUUUUAUUCUUAAGAUCAAAGGGAGGAGCGCUGGCAUGGAGAAGCGGAAGCAGGAAAGUCAAGCUUGGGGAAGUCCUUACAACACCUGAGUCAACUUUGGUAGAGCUGGCAGGGAUCCCAGAGAAAGGCCAUGUUAUCUUCCAAGGUGUGCUUAUGCCUGUAAGGCUCGCGUCUGCCAGAGACGUCACUCACCAAUCUUUCAGGUCCCUUCCCCAAGUCCCCACAAAGGCACGAUGCCUUGUGCCAGGCCACUGAUUAAACUGCAUUUAGGGACACUGGAGACAAAUACAGCAAUGGUAGCCGCACAGUGACAGCACGAAGCCUGAAGGAAAAUUAAACCCAAGUUUCCAGAGCAGCCCAGAGACUGUGCGAUUGUUCAAUGAAGCUGGGAAAAACCCAGUGACGCGACUGGACCCAAGGAAGGCCUGAAGAAAGCAAGGGAUGGCCAGCUGAUGGACUGGUCAGUUGAACGCUAACAACUGGAAAAAUGGGGCCAGCACCAGCAAAAAUAAAUGGAGCAGAUGGAAAGCGAAUGGUCUGGGGUCCAUGAGAGUUCACACUCUCAACCCUGGGUGCCCAACUACCAACCUACAAGCCAAAGGAGAAUCGCUUGGACGGAACUCAGGCUUCACCUGCAAUUCUUCUUACAUUAAACAUUCUUCUUAAUUAGCCAGCCAACAUGAACUCAGAGGCCAGCAGGAUUUAACUACCUGCCAAGAUGCCACGUCUCCCUGACACCUCAGACAGGAGGCCAUGGAUCAAUGAGUAAUUGUCACUGAAGCUGAAUGCUUCAUUUGGGACUGCUGAAAAUGACUUUCAUUGAAAGAAAAGACCUGAAACAGGAGCUCUAACAAGGAUACUGACAAGAGGGAGGCAGGGUGGUACAGGAGAAAGAGGACAGGCUCUGUUUAGAAGUAGACAGCUCAUGGCUUUGGUCCUAUCACAGCAUCUUCUGAGUACUGGGCCACAGAUCAUUCUUUUUGCCUGAAUUUCCCAAGCUUUGUGCCAUGUAAUCCCACUUCUUUGGUUAUAGCUGAUGAUGGUGUGGGGCAGUUUCCUUGCCUCAGGUUACCAUGCAUAUGCACUUUUGAGGGCACUUUGAAACAGACUGUUCACUUCACAUUGGAUGGGGACAAACAUACUCAUUUACACACCAUUUAUUCGAGCAUAAGAACUGAAAGGCAGUGAAGCAUACAGCUGACAUCCAUUCACACCGAUUCUGCUAUUCUCAUACUUCUAGCAUCUCUUUGCUUUUCUUCACAUGCAGCUCGUAAUCUCAUUUUAAGUUCAGUGAAAAGGCACAAACACUUAGCAGAUUUAAAUAAACUCUUGAACAAAUUGCCUCCACUUUUAUACCCAGUGACCACCAUCCAUACCCGUAAAUUCUACUUUCACCCCUGCUAAUUUCUAGAGGUAAAUUGCCCAUGUUCCUCUCUAGGGCUACUUGUGCCCCAGGCCCCAUCUCUUCAUGCCUUUCCAAUGACAUCACCCCAUUGGUUUUUCCCUCUAUUCUGGAAUAUUAUCAUCAAGGUAAAAGCACUGUUGUUUUACCGUCUUCAAAAAAAAUCCCUCCUGACUGCACUUCCUCCUUCAGCUAUCACAUUCCUCCCUUCCUCUUUGUAGGAAAACUUCUUAAAGGGACGCAUGUACUCAGUGUUUCCAAUCCCUCCCCUCCCACUAUUUCUUGAAUGACCUCCAUUUAGACGGUCAUCCUUACAGUCCACCUACACUCCAUGAGGUCGCCAGUGACUUCCAUGAUGCUAAAUUCUAUGAUCUAUUCUCAUUUGCCCUGCCAGCCAGAUUGGUACAGUUAAUCACCUUCUCCUCCUUGAAAUACUUCCUUCAUUAGAUUCCAAGAAUUCACACUUCCUUGAUGCCCCUCCCUUCUCCACGGUUCUCUUCUCCUUGAUCUUUGCUGUUUCUUUCUCUAUUCCUGACAUUGGAGCAACACAGUUCUCGGUCCCCAGUUCCUUUCACUUCUCCAUCUGUGGUCACUCCCUUGUUGCAGCCAGUCUAACUGAAGCAGGGCAGAGACAUGGGACAAGCAUCAUGAUUGAUUUUUCCUGCCUAUGAUGAAAAAUGCUGAGAUUUAAACAGUAUAGUAUGAACAGGAGGGACCCCAUCUUAAAGCUAUAAUUCCACUUAGAAAGGAGAGAGUUGAGGAAUAAAAGUCUUAACAUAUUCUUUAGCAAACAGACAAUAACUCAGCCUAUCUUGGGGGCAGGGAAGGUGGUCUUGAUUGAUAUGUUCCUAGAGGGAAGCUGCUAUCCUAGGGAGGAAUCGGAUCUUAAAUUUUUUGUGUUAAGUUAAUUUUUCAAAAUUAGCUGGAGGACUGAAAGCAGAGGAGAGGAGACAUGGUGUCUGUCACCAUAGAUAAGCAUCUUGAGACAACAAGUCAAGCCUACAUCCAAAACAUCCCCUCUCCCCUUUGCCCCAUUCUUAAAAGCCUUAAAAGACAGAGUCCCCCAACUUUCAGUGCACAUCCUCUCUGAGACACCCGCACUUUCCUUUCUUUAAGUGUGUACUUUCAAAUAAAGCUUUCCCACUGGUCAAA